GGCAAGGUCUCUUAGGCAAUGGUCCCUCUUGCUCCCAAUAUCGAUAUCGUUUCUCCAUCUGUGUCCCCCGGGCGGCCGCCUCCUGGCUUAGGUUGCCCCCCCAGGGGGUCUUACCAGUCAUUGGCUAACCGGCCUUCUCACCUCUGGGGCACAGUUUGUUGGCAAGCUUUUUCCAGUGAUUAUUAACCCUUCCUAUGUCAGGGGCGGCUCCAGGAGGCUCCAGGACUGAGAAAGGUGCUUAGUCUUUCUCCGGGCACCUUACACAGUUGUCUGAGCAGAUCUCACAGUUCUUCUCUUCACAGAAGGUCUGUCAGACGUCAGGAAGGUGCCUUUAUGGCCCAGCUCGUCAGCUACCACAAGCGCUGGAGAAGAAGGAGGCGUUCUGGAGGAUUUGCGUGGGCCUCUUGGCAGGCUGCAAGGUCCCUCUAGUUGUGGCAUGUGGGACGCUGCCUCAGCGUGGUUUGAUGAGCAGUGCUGUGUCCGUGCCCAGGAUUCGAACCAACGAAACACUGGGCCGCCAGCAGCGGAGUGCACGAACUUAACUACUUGGCCACAGGGCCAGCCACAGUCCAUUCACUUUUAAAGUCGCUAUUGAUAACGGCUGCACCAGUUUGCCCAUCUGAUUUACACCUCGGCACCAACAUCAGGUUCCAAAAAUUUCCAUGGGGCGAGCAAGAGAACCUGCCAGCCACCCAAGACAUGGCCCUGCAGACAGGCCUGGAUGCAGCGUCCCCGGCAGACGGUGGACCGUGCUGCAGGACACGGAUGCUUCCAUUCGCUCACCACGAAGAGAGGCGAGCGGCUUCCAGACCUGCGCGCCCAUCAGGCACAGCUCGAAUGAAGCCAGGUCAGGACAGGAGCUGACAGCGGCCACCUCCCAUCCUCCCAUCUCCCACCCGCUCAGAGGCGUCCCUGUACCUAGUUUCUCCAAAUGGCAACAACUCUAGAACAACUGUGAUAUUGACAUUGAUACUGUCCACCAAUCUGAUUCAGUUUCUCCUGUUUACUUGCGCUUACUUGUGUACGUGUGUGUGUUUAACUCUAAGCAAUUUAUUUCAGAUGUGUAGGUUUCUGUAUCCACCAUCACAAUCAAAAUAUGAAACUGUUACAUCACCAUAAGAAUCCUCUUUAUUGCCUAUUUAUAGGAGACUUCCUUCCCCAAUGUGUGUGAACACAUGUGUGUGAACAUAAGUUUUAAUUUCUCUAGGAUAAGUGCUCAAGUGUACAAUUAAUGAGUUGUGUGGCAAUUGCAUGUUUAGUUUUAUAAGAAACUGCCAAACUAUUUUCCAGAGUAACUGUACCAUUUCACGUUCCCACCAGCAAAGUAUGAGUGAUCCAGUUUCUCCUCAUCCUUGCCGGCAUUUGAUGGUGUUGUUUUUUCACCUUUAGUCAUUCUGACAGGCAUGUAGUGAUGUAUCAUUGUGAUUUUAAUUUGCAUUUCCCUAAUGCCUAAUGCUGAGCAUAUUUUCAUGUGCUUACUUGACAUCUGUAUAAUCUUUGGUGAAAUAUCUGUUCAUCUCUUUUGCUCACAAAAUGCAAAAAUCUUUUCACUAGUAAAUUCAUAGAUAUAUCAGCGGAGAUUUGCUAGGAUACAGGUGCAAGAAAGUUCAUUGUAACAAUAUUUUAGGAAUAAAACAGCAACAGCCACAAAGCCCACCCUGGAAACAGUGUAAAGAACGUUAGUAGGGAUUGACCCAAUUAUCACUGCUCUGUGGUAUGAUCAAACAGUGGGGCCAAAUAAUGGGACAAAGGUAAAAGUCUGGAGUCCCUUAAAGAAGGAAAGGUUACCACUCACCUCACAUGGAUUGUGACAUCCCAGAGACGACAGCUCCCAGGGAGAGGACAAGCAUCCCGAACUUCGCUUUCCCAUGGGGCGCUGCAGACACCACCUCAUCGGCCAGGGGUCCCCCUGGGCCCUCUGCAAAGCUCCCUUUGCUUCUGCUUGUGGGGUUUUGGGUCCCCUGGCUUUUUCCAGCCACUCUGGAAAGUCUUCCCACCAGGUGCCAGUUGGAAGUGGAGACCUCAGCACACACCUGGAGCGAUGUACUGAAGACUGAGCUGGUCCAGGCCACUCCAAGUUUCCCACGUUUCUCCUCUGUAAUGGAACCUGACUCUGUGUUUCGAUGUUUGAUUGCUGACACAUCUGAGGCUUCUACUCUCCCUCUUCCCCUGGUGCCCCACAUCCAGGCAAGCUGGAAAGCUCAGCUGCUCCCAGCUUUGGCACGGCGGCAGUUUCAAACCAUGCCAGCCCCUUCCUGGGGACAGUAGCUCCUACCUGGGCCCACCCACAGCCACAACACAAACCCCAAGCCGGUCUCCUUUCCUUGCUCUCUCAGCCAUUUCCAAACCCGCUUGGGAAGCUCUCCUGUUCUUCCCUGAAUGCCUCAUCAUGAAAGUAACUAAUCUUUCACACCCUCUUGGUGUGCGGCCACCGCACCCUCCCUGGUACGUCCAGGCCUGAGGCCCUAUUCUUAUAAUCCAUGACUGAAGUCUGUUCCUAUAACCCAUCCCUGACCUAAGAUUUCAUACUUUUUAACCAGUAAUGCAGUAGGUCUAAUCUCUUUUCAACUUAUUUUUUUAAAAUAAAAUGUUCUUACAUCUCAGGUAGAAAACAAAACAAAUCACAUUUCCGUUGCUACAGUAACACUCUGAAGUCAGUGAGGAAUCAAUUAUACGCAUCACAGUAUUUCACAUUUCUUUCCCAGCAGUUUGUUCCUCCCAACCCCACUCCACCAUUUUUAUUUAUUUAUUUAAAGAUUGGCACCUGAGCUAACACCUGCUGCCCAUCUUUUUUCUUUUUCUUUUUCUUCUCCCCAAAUCCCCCCAGCACAUAGUUGUAUAAUCUAGUUGUGAGUCCUUCUGGUUCUGCUAUGUGGGACGCCACCUCAGCAUGGCCUGAUGAGCGGUGCCAUGUCUGUGCCCAGGAUCCAAACCAGCAACACCCCAGGCCGCUGAAGCAGAGUGCACGAUCUUAACCACUCGGCCACGGGGGCGGCACACCACCAUUUUUAAAUAAAAGAACAUGGCUACUAAUUAACCCAUGUUAGAAGAUUUGCAGUGGUUCUCAAAUGCAAGCUAGUUUGUCCCUUAGGUAGGGUGACCAGUGGUCUUAGUGUGCCCAGGACUUUCCUGAUUUUAGCUCUGAAAGUCUGUAUCCUGGAAACCCCCCAGUCCCAGGUAAGUUGGGACAGUUGGUCACCCUACCCCCAGGGGAUCUUGGUAAGGUCUGGAGACAUUUUUGGUUGUUACGACUGUGUGUGUGUGUGUUCUACUGUAUCUAGUGAGUAGAGGCCACAGACGCUGCUAACCAUCUUACAACAUGUGGACAGUUCACCACAACAAAGGAUAUCCAAAAUGUCAACAGUGCUAAGGUUGAGAAACUGCUGUAGCACUGUGCUCUUCAAAGUGUGGUCUUUGGAUUAGCAGCUUGGAUACCAAGGAGAGUCUGCAUGUUAGAAAUGCAGCAACUCUGGGCCCAUCCCAGAGCCAGUGGGCCGGGGUCAGCCAGCCAUUUAACAAGCCCCCUGGGUGAUUUGCGUACACAUUGAAGCUGGAGAAGUGCUGCUCCAGUAUUUACGGUUUAUUCUUUCUGAGUGUCAGCAUGACACAGGCUCAGACAGUUCUGAUUAAUUAUAUUCACUGAUUUUUAUUGAGCUCCAGUGUCACCAUGGGGUCACCAGUAGCCUCUCUUUCCAGGGUGCCUUCUCACCCAGGGGCCUCUGAAAGCAUUGUUGACCUGUGACACGAUGUCUCAGAUUCAUCUUCUGCUCUCCUGCACCUGGAAGGAACCUUCUUUCUAAAGAGAGCUGCUUCCAUUUAGUGGAGAACAAGACUGAGAGACCAAAACCCGGCCGUGGGGUUGUACAUCUGAGCACGGGAUAGAAUAAGACAAUAGCCAAGAAGUUAAACAGACCUUUCCCUCACAGGGUCCUCCAAUGGGAUCCGUACAGUGAGUGGAUAGAAGCCGUGAAAGGAAACCUUAGAAAAAUACAAGUGACUGCAUUUCAGCCUAACACUCUUCUUUCACCCUUCAUCUGCAUGGGCACUAGUGUCAUUUAUCAUGCACAGUUUUAGUUUUGAACUCCACUUUCUCAAAGACCUUUGGACAAUUACGUAAUAACUAUAGCAAUACAGCAGUCCAAAUUUAAAAAGUUAAUAAAGCAUGUAAGCAAAUACAACUGCGUUAAUAUUAAGAGUCAUCAGAGGUGGAGAGUUAUUUCAUGGGAUGGCCUGUGUUUCAAGGGAAGCAGCUAAAAAUGAGGUGGCAAGUAAUGAUCUGGGAGCAGCAGUUGGAGGCCGGAAGAAUUCUGGGCGGGCGAGCUGCUGGGAAGGUAGGGGCUUGGGGAAACACCAGGCUUCCGCAGAGGCAGGAAGUGAAUUCUGCUAACAACCAAUGAGCUUGAAAAAGAACCUUGAGCCUCUGAUGAGACUGUGGCCCCGGCCAGCACCCUGCCUGCGGCCUGUGAGCGCGUGAGCCCGCGAGCAGAGAACCUGGUUGAGUCAUGCCUGGACUUCUGACCUACAGAACAGUAAAUGGGUGCUGUUUUAAGCUACUAGUUUGUGGUAAUUUGUUACACGGCAAUAGAAAACUAAUACAUUCCACCUUCUAUGUUCAAUUGUAGAGCAUAGGAUCCUUAAUCCUUUCUCUGUCCUGCCAUUCCAGAGGAACUGGUUAAAGUGUGUCAGUGACUGCAGGUCAUCACGGCAGGAUUUUCCCCAGGGAUGGGAGGGGUCGUCUGAAAGAGCCAUCACUUGAUUCUGUUCACCUCUGUUAUCAAUCACUACUGCAAAUGAUUUAGGCAUUUUCUUCCAUUUUUUCUAUUUAUCAAAA
ensembl:lncRNA